ACGCCUAAUACAUGCAAGUCGAACGAAGUAGCAAUACUUAGUGGCAGACGGGUGAGUAACAUGUAGGUAUCUUCCCAUUGGUGAGGAAUAACACGAGGAAACUUGUGCUAAUACCUCAUAAGUCUUUACGGAGAAAGCUUUAUGCGCCGAUGGAUGAGCCUGCACUUGAUUAGUUUGUUGGUAGGGUAAUGGCCUACCAAGACAAUGAUCAAUAGCUGAUUUGAGAGGAUGAUCAGCCACAUUGGGACUGAGACACGGCCCAAACUCCUACGGGAGGCAGCAGUAGGGAAUCUUGCACAAUGGGGGAAACCCUGAUGCAGCGAUGCCGCGUGAGUGAAGAAGGCCUUUGGGUUGUAAAGCUCUUUCGUCGGGGAAGAAAAUGACUGUACCCGAAUAAGAAGGUCCGGCUAACU
rnacentral:rRNA from 1 species